rnacentral:rRNA from 1 species
UACGUAGGUGGCAAGCGUUGUCCGGAUUUACUGGGCGUAAAGGGCGUGCAGGCGGUUUGUUAAGUCUAGGGUGAAAGCUCCCGGCUCAACUGGGAGAGGUCCUUGGAUACUGGCAAACUUGAGGGAGGCAGAGGAGAGUGGAAUUCCCGGUGUAGUGGUGAUAUGCGUAGAUAUCGGGAGGAACACCAGUGGCGAAGGCGGCUCUCUGGGCCUUUCCUGACGCUGAGACGCGAAAGCGUGGGGAGCGAACCGG